AGAUGUGAUGGGGUGAGAGGGAGAACGAGGGAUGUGACAAAGCGGAGUGCACCUGAGAUUAGCCUAUCACAUGCCGCCCCCCGGAACAAUGAGAUAGCUUUUGACACCCACUGCACACACACACACACACACGCACACACACACUCACAGGCAGGCAGUCAUUCGUCAGACGUUUCCUUGUCAGAGUGUUGGUGGCCUUCUCUUCUCCUCCUCCUCUUCCUCUUCCUCCUCCUCCUCGUCAUCUUCACCAUCAUCAUCACCAUCGUUAUUGCCUUCCUUAUCGUCAUGUUCUUAUGUUCUUCUUUCUAAUCUAUUUUUUUAUCUAUAUUCUACCACACGUAUAUAUAUUUCUUUCUUCUCUUUGUCCCCAACUAUAAUCCUCAAGCACAUAUUUCCCUAUAAUGCACGCCUUUCCUCCUCCUCCUUUUCCUCUUUUUCCUCCUCCUCCUCCUCCUAUUCAUCAUCCUCAUCAUCACCAUUAUCACCACCACCCUUCCCUCAUGCAUACGUGUGUUGACGAGUGCAAAGUAACAGAGGAAAAAAAGUGUAGUCCGAGAUGCAGCCUCCAGCCUCCCUCCUUCAUCUCACGCCCCUACGAGGAACAUAAGGAGAUGCUUCAACGUUGGAUGCAGGACUGACUGACUGACUGGCGCCACUCGGAUUGCUGUUGCUACACGUUCAGAACCCGUCACCAGUCCUCGUCAUCCAAUCUCCUCGUCAUAAAGUCAACCAGUCACCCAGUUAACCCGUCAUCCAGUCACCUCGUCCAUCCAGUCUCUGUGUAUGUUAAUUCGUCCUCCUGCAGUCUAGUCGUCCUUGAGCCUCCUCGUCCUUCAGCCAGUCAUCUCCUUCCUCAGUCACUCAGGUCCUGGCUUGAGCUACAACGGCACGAGCCCACGCUUCCCUCCUCACGCCGCCCACACCGCCAGUCACCCACCCCUGACAUCAUUCGAGGAGGAGAAGGACCUGACCCAAUGACAUCACCGCUGACUCGUCGUGGGUCCAACAUAAGAACCAGACGAUUGAAAACAUGGACCUCUCACGGUGGCAGAGUUAAGGAAUGGUGUGUGUGUGUGUGUGUGUGUGUGUGUGUGUGUGUGUGUGCCUGGUUAGGGUGAUUGACUUUCUCCCAGACAGGCGGAGUGGCGGGGAUGAAGAAGGAAUCGCACGAGCUGCUUAAACAAGUAAAACAACAAACAAACGCAUAUAUCCAAGCGCGAAUAUCACUUUCACACACACACACACACACACACACACACACACAUGGUGCAUAAUCAGCAUAUGGUGUAUAAAUUUGGCACCAGACAAUACUCCAAUCUUCCCCCAUGGUCAAUGCAUCAGAGAGAGAGAGAGAGAGAGAGAGAGAGAGAGAGCAGACGAAAGGUAAAGAAAAAGUACAGUUUGGGGCACUCGCUAAUCUACGCGUGGCCUCGGUGCUCUGUCUCCGUCCCAUUGGCCUUAGAGCUUGUGAUGGGCGAGAAGCAAGCACUCUAGAAUCCUUAAUGAAAGCCUUUUACCCCGGGACAUGCCCAGAGUGAUAUCCAGGUUACCACAGUCUACUUUCCCCAGGUACUCAUUAAUUUUGUCAGCCGGUCAAUUGGGAGGAUGAACAGCUGUGGAUUUGUACCUAUGCAUACUAACCACUACACCACGGAGGAGCGUUAGACAAUAAUAAAGAAUAAACUAUAAAAACGCUGCUCCAUUCCUCCAUCUCAUUUGCGGAGACACAGGACAGACAUGGGCGGAGUCUCCAAGUCUCGGCCUCCCCAGCUGGGUUGUGGGAAGCUGCAAUGUUCGGCUGCGAGGCAAUAUUGCACUUUCCCCGGCCUAGAGGGGGAGGAACCUGCUUCGUGUCAAGGCGCCUCAGCUUCUCCCAGCCCCUGUCCGCUUGCCAAGAUUUGUCGCGAGGAAACAACAAGUCAACGGUACAUCUUUCCAGCCGAGUAUCAAGACGUCGCAAACUUUAUUACAUUAUUCUUUCUUGGUGUUUGUUUUUUUAUUCUUUAUUCUUAUUGGGAUCUAAUUUAUUUAUAGUAUUUAGUGAUUAGGUUGUUAGCCAUCGCAUUGUAACAUUCACUAGUUUUGCAUAUAUUCACCUACUUAUUUACUUGUGAGUAGUACGGUAGAAAGGUGCUGAGAACCUAUUAUAGUCCAUAUUUUAUUCACUGUUUUGUCAAAGUUAGUCAUUCUAUUAUCAGAAAUUUCGGUGUUACAAAUAAGCGACUUACUAUGAUGCAUAAAUAUUUAUGUAUGUUUGAUUGAGGCUAGGGAUUCCUAUUUAGUUUUACAAGUUUAUUUAUCUAGUCACUUUAUUUUCAUAUGUGUUUCUCCUUUUAUGAAUGAAUAGCAAAAUUGUAAAAUAAUGUUAGUUAGAUCUUAAUGGAUCGAAGGGAAGUACUGUUAUUAUUAUUCAGAUUUCAGGCAUGUCAUUAACUAUUCAGGAGAGAGAGAGAGAGAGAGAGAGAGAGAGAGAGAGAGAGAGAGAGAGAGAGAGAGAGAGAGAGAGAGAGAGAAUGCGGUCAACUUCAUCAAUAUUAUGCAGUAGACCAGGUGAGGACAAGUGCAUUCUUGUGGUUUCCUGUCAAAUUGCACUAGUCCCGGCCUGCUAUACUAGCGUUCCACCACCGCCACGCCCUCCACCACCACCACCACGCCCUCUACCACCACCACCAUCACUACCACCACCACGCCCUCUGCCACCACAACCACCGUCACCUCCACCACCACUUUCAAAAGGGCGCCCUCCCGCUCCAGGCAAUUCCCAUUGUUAAAAGUUAAGUAAUGAAGUGAUAGGCAGGAUAGGAAGAGUUGUUAAUGUCCAUUUGUAUGGCUAGUAAAUCAUAGUUAGUGCGACUUGCACCACCCAUGGCCAACUAAAAAAAAAAACAAAAAAAAAACGAUGUAGCAUUGAUCCCAGCACUCCCUCUUGUCAAGGCUAGGGCACUUACGUGAUGUACAGAGGAAGGUCAUUGGCAUAUUACAGAGUGACUAAAAAAAAUAUCAAUAUAUAGUAGCCUAAGUAAUAUAUCAUGUUUCUGUGGGUUUCGCCGUUUCUGUAGUGCAGUGAUUAAUAAAAAAAAAAUUGAGUUAUUCACUUUCCCCCUGUGCAGCAAGGAUAUGAAAAUGUGGAUUGAUGGUGAGUGAAUAUGAGAAAGUAAUCCUGUCUAACAUCCAACAAUAAUUCAAUUCGACGGUCAUUGCGCCGCACAUCAUUGCUAUCCCUCACCACAGCGUGCGGUAAGUGGUUACAUGCUUGCUGGACCACGGCCAGGCAGUAAUUUACCAAGUUCCCAGCACAGCAGCGCCACAAAGUCCGUCCGCUGGAUUGUUUUCUAAUGUAACGCCUGCAUGCGCUUGGAGAAACCUACACAACAAGGAAAAGAAAACCAGUCUUUGCUGAUCUUGAACCAGUACCAGUGACGCAGGGAAGGUCAGCGAAGUGAGAACCCGGUUAUCUGAGGGAGGUCCCGCACUCGGUACAGAAUUACCCAGUUUUAAAUAUUACACAACUUAUUUUUCAGCUGGGCCAAACAAGUUAACUAUUCCAAGUCCUAUUCUCUAAUUCAGUUCAACAUCUUAUUGUCGAAACACUACACACCAAAAAUAGUAACCUUGACGAUAGGGGGGUUGUGAAGAGGAGCCCGUGAUCCCCCAAAUUACACAACCUAUUUUUCAGCUGGGGCAAGCGAGUUAACUAUUCUAAAUCCUGUUCUCUUAUUCAGUUCAACAUCUUAUUGUCGAAACAUACCAAAAACAGUAACAUUGACGAUAUCGAUAGGGGCGUGAAAAGGAGCCCGCGUGUGAUGCCCCAAAUUACACCUUAUUUUUCAGCUGGGCCAAAGCAAGUUAGCUAUUCUAAAUCCUGUUCUCUAAAUCAGUUCAACAUCUUAUCUUCGAAACAUUACAUACCAAAAAUAGUAACAUUGACGAUAGGGGCGUUAAUUGUGAUGCCCCAAAUUACACAACCUAUUUUUCAGCUGGGCCAAACAAGUUAACUAUUCUAAAUCCUGUUCUCUAAACCAGUUCAACAUCUUAUUGUCGAAACAGAACAUACCAAAAAUAGUAACAUUGACGUUGAAAGAGGACCCCGUGAUGCCCCAAAUUACACAACUUAUUUUUCCAAGCAAGUUAACUAUUCUAAAUCCUGUUCUCUAAAUCAGUUCAUCUUAUCUUCGAAACAUUACACACCAAAAAUAGUAA